rnacentral:rRNA from 1 species
CUCAGUUCGGAUUGGAGUCUGNAACCCGACUCCAUGAAGCUGGAUUCGCUGUAAUCGCGCAUCAGCCACGGCGCGGUGAAUACGUUCCCGGGCCUUGUACACACCGCCCGUCAAGCCAUGGAAGCCGGGAGUGCCUGAAGUGCGUGAGCGCAAGUAGCGCCCUAAGGUAAAACCGGUGACUGGGGCUAAGUCGUAACAAGGUAUC